UCUAUUAAUAGUGACUCGCCUCUCAUUUUCCAGCUCGAACCGAUCCUCGCCUGCGACUCCUGGGAGGCGACCUCGCGAGGGCGAUUAGGGUUUUCGCCGCUACCGACCUGCCGCCGCUGCCCGUCGUCAUGCGGAGAAUACGAUGCGAAGCUCCGAGAUCCUUCUCUCUCUCAAGAUCGAGUCUAGGUAGCCACGAUGAGCUGAUCGAGGCAGCCUCCGGACCUCAAGAACAGGUACAUGGACAAGAAGCUUCAGAGUAAAGUCAAAAUUUCUGAGGAAAUCUUUGUAGUUGUAGCUCCAGGAUGACUAUGCCUACACUGUCAAUAAGCAAUCGAUAUUAUUCGAUCUUACUCCUAUUUUGAGGUCUGUAAAAAUAAGAUAUUAGAAACAGAAAAAGAUAAGCAAUCGAUAUUAUUCCUACGAUAGUAAGUUUAGCUUAAACAAUUUAUCCCGAGUGAUCAAAUUUUUUGGGGCUGCAAUGCCGGAGUAUAUUGAUCUUGCGACAUAAAAACCUUUUGAUUGGUCAUUGCUUACAUUAUGCACAAAGAUGUAUUAGCUUGUUGGGAUCUUGCCAAUGAUCAUAAUUUUGGUGGAUUUCGAGUCAUUUGCAGAGGGACGUGAGCAUGGCGAUCUCCGGUUUUUGUUCUGUUGUUAGACUUCACAAGAUCUUGGUGAUUGUUCUUGAAAGCACUUCACUGGAAGCUCUCCAGAGUUCGACAGUCAUACACUGUGUCCAAGUUCAGAAAAACUGCAACUUGAAGGAUAGCUGCAAGUUGAAUUAUUUGCUCUACGAAUCUGCUGUAUUGUGACGAAUGUCCAUUUCAAACAUUGAAUUGUAGUUGUUAUGACCGGAUGAACAGCUAAAAAAGUUUAUGCGCACAU